AUGCAGAAUGCAUUGUUGAAGCUAUGGGCAAUGGUUGAAGAUGCCAAAAGUGCUAGGGUGAAUGACAAUCUUGAGAAUUCUUUCACUAUCCACCAUCUGACAGAAGAGAAGAACAAGCUGGAGGCCAACUAUGACAAGCUAGUCCAAGAUGUGCAUGAGCUGAUGAACUUCCAGGAAGAUAAGGUGGUGUAUUUCAGGCAUCUGCAGUCUGCCAUUACAUAUCAGCAGGAGGUAAGAAAAGAACUGACUGAUGAUAUGAAGGCAAAGAUGGCAAAGAAAGAUGCAGAGACCCAGCAACUUACUCAGAAGUAUGAGGUGCUGCUCAACCUGACAAGAGCUCAAGCAACAGUCAUUCAGAACUUGAAGUUGAACAAAAUGAAAGAGAAGCAAGUGCUUACUGAAGCUAGUAUGAAUUUGGAGCUGAAGAAUCCAGAGCUAACUAAGUGUCAGGAGAAGCUCACCCAAGAGAAGCUAGAGUUGAAGCUUCAGGUUGCUGAUCUGCUUAAGGGAAAUAAAAAGCAUAUUGAAGAGAAGUGGCAGUUAGAGUUUCAGAAUGAAAAGUUGAAGGAGAAGUUCAGGGGGAUUCAAGCCAUCUUGGAGAAGUGA
rnacentral:rRNA from 1 species